CUGUUAUCCUUGCGGGGAAAUUUUAUCGCUAUUGGAUGAGUUCUUGUAAAAUUAGCUAGGGGGGGGGGUAAUGGCCCACCAAGGUUGUGAUCUGUAGCUGGCCUGGGAGGAUGAUCAGCCACACUGGAACUGAGACACGGUUCAGACUCCUACGGGACGUAGCAGUGGGGAAUAUUGGACAAUGGGCGCGAGCCUGAUCCAGCUAUGCCGCGUGAGUGAGGAAGGCUUUAGGGUUGUAAAACUCUUUCAGUAGGGAAUAUUAUGGCGGUACCUACAGAAAAAGUCCCGGCAUCUCCUGGCCAGUGGCGCGGUAAUACGGAGGGGCAAGCGUUCUCAGAAUUAUUGUCGUAAGGGGCAUG
rnacentral:rRNA from 1 species